UACGUAGGGGGCAAGCGUUGUUCGGAAUUACUGGGCGUAAAGGGCGCGUAGGCGGCACGGCAAGUCAGGAGUGAAAGGCCCGGGCUCAACCGAGGAACUGCUUUUGAGACUGCCGAGCUAGAGUGCAGAAGGGGCAACUGGAAUUCCCAGUGUAGCGGUGAAAUGCGUAGAUAUUGGGAAGAACACCUGAGGCGAAGGCGGGUUGCUGGGCUGACACUGACGCUGAGGCGCGAAAGCCAGGGGAGCGAACGGG
rnacentral:rRNA from 1 species